rnacentral:rRNA from 1 species
CAAUAGCGUAUAUUAAAGUUGUUGCAGUUAAAAAGCUCGUAGUUGGAUUUGUGGCGUACGACGGGCUCCGGGCACUUGUUGUCUGAGUAGCUUGUCGUUGCCAUCCUUGGGUGGAACCUGUGUGGCAUUAGGUUGUCGUGCAGGGGAUGCCCAUCUUUUACUGUGAAAAAAUUAGAGUGUUCAAAGCAGGCUUAUGCCGUUGAAUAUAUUAGCAUGGAAAAAUAAGAUAGGACUUUGUCGCUAUUUUGUUGGUUUGCGCGAUAAGGUAAUGAUUAAUAGGGACAGUUGGGGGUAUUCGUAUUCCAUUGUCAGAGGUGAAAUUCUUGGAUUUUUGGAAGACGAACUACUGCGAAAGCAUUUACCAAGGAUGUUUUCAUUAA